AUUGAACGCUGGCGGCAGGCUUAACACAUGCAAGUCGAGCGGGGAAGGGUAGCUUGCUACCUGACCUAGCGGCGGACGGGUGAGUAAUGCUUAGGAAUCUGCCUAUUAGUGGGGGACAACAUUCCGAAAGGAAUGCUAAUACCGCAUACGCCCUACGGGGGAAAGCAGGGGAUCUUCGGACCUUGCUCUAAUAGAUGAGCCUAAGUCAGAUUAGCUAGUUGGUGGGGUAAAGGCCUACCAAGGCGACGAUCUGUAGCGGGUCUGAGAGGAUGAUCCGCCACACUGGGACUGAGACACGGCCCAGACUCCUACGGGAGGCAGCAGUGGGGAAUAUUGGACAAUGGGCGAAAGCCUGAUCCAGCCAUGCCGCGUGUGUGAAGAAGGCCUUUUGGUUGUAAAGCACUUUAAGCGAGGAGGAGGCUACUUAGAUUAAUACUCUAGGAUAGUGGACGUUACUCGCAGAAUAAGCACCGGCUAACUCUGUGCCAGCCGCCGCAGUAA
rnacentral:rRNA from 1 species